CUCCAUCGGUCUGUCUUCUCGGUCUCCCUUUCUCUUCUUGCAUAUCAUUCACUCUUUCUCUACCUGUAACUUCCUUCAUACUGGACACAUAGACCUGAACAUGGUAUCCACGAGUUCAUCUGACUCUGGGGAAGUAGAUGCCAAAAUCCCAAAGUAUCACUUUAACCAUCAAGGUACGUUUCACUUUUGCUGUAGUUUGACUGACGGCUAACAUACGUUAAAAUAUGUCGUUAGUAAAACGGCCACGUAGUCCAUAAUCUACACAGACGCACGCCAUAAUUAAAACGGCCAGCCAUUGUCAUACCUCUGUAGUGAUGGGGGUGGCGGGGGGAAAUCGAGUUACAUAUCGCAAUAUUAUCUUUGAAAGAUGAGUUUUUAAAAAUAUAUAUACAUACAUGCAUACAUACUGUGGGUAGUGCUAGUCUGCUGUACCUGUGCCAAAACGCUAGUAUUUUUCAUCCUUCAGCUUAUUCUCCAUCUUCUAAAUAGUGAUAAUCCUCUCAGCAGUUUUAUUUCCCUCACUGAUCACACUCGUUCUCAUGCUCUCUCGUCUCUCUGCAGCAGACAUAGUGGACAAUAUGUUUGGAACAUCAAUUCGCAAUAUCGAAUCGCAAUAUGUAUCAUAGAGCUGGGCGAUUUAUAUCGAAUUAAUUUGAGGUUGUUUUAUCACGGUAUUCCAAAUGCCUGUCGCAAGCAUCAACUUGUUUUUUAUGAGCACUUACGUCCGCUUGUUGUCAUGUUUUUCAUCUCAUCUCCUUUUGCAUCUUCCACUGUGACUGUGCACCUUCCCAUUUACACACACACACACACACACAUACACACACACACACACACACCAACCAAGCUCCUGCUACUCACAACAACAAAGAUGAAAGAUCACUUCCUCUUUGACGACAAGCGGUUUCAACUCACUAUUUGCAUUGGAGGUUUGGUCCAACCGAAUUGGUCAUAUGGACACAAACACAUUGAGAUAUUAUUUUACUAUAAUAGACGAGAAUCACAUUUCAAAAGGCACUCUCACAUCUGAGCUGUCUUUGUUGCAGGUGCAUGGUAAAAGUUGAAUAUGAUUAAGCUUUACGUAUCAGAGCUCGUCAGAGCUCUCUCACAACUCCCAUUAUUAAAAUGCAACGGAAUUCCAUAUGUUGCAUUAUGACAUUACAAAUAAUGAACAAUUUACCGGUAUAAUCAGGUCAUUUAAGUAAAGUGGCACUGCGGAAAGACCAAGAACCGAAUGGGGCUGAAGAAUACAACAAGCCAGGACCAAGUAUUGAAGAGGGGAGAUGCACGUGCAGCGCAAAGUAGUAAGAACUCCAGUCAGGAAGCACUCCACAGUACUGGAAAUCUCACAGCACCCAACUGAUGCCACCCCAGAAACCCAAGCCCAACCAACAAGAUAAUUAAAUAGCCCAAGAUGAGCGAAACCAAGGAAUGGAACCAACUAGACCAAGACCUCAAAGUCCUAGAGCCACUAGCCGGGACAGCUUAAUGGAAAGUUGACUCCUUCACAAAAAAUAACUUAUCUGGCGAGAGAAUGCUCUGGCACAGUGGAAAAGGAGAAUCGAACUACACACCAGCCAAACAGAGGGGCGAUCCAACGCCUGAGGAGUUCAAAAGAGACGGGCAGUGAUCUGGCCACCACUUCUGACCCGCCAAUGGGAGGGUGUUACAAUUCAGGGUCGAAACACCUGAGGAAAGCUCGACAAUGUCUGAUGAUGAUCAGCUUCUGGCCAAAGCAACAGUCAUUGAAGCAAGUGACUGAAGGUGAAGCAUCCCUAGAUAUACACUAUAUACAGUGGUUCCUCCUUUAAAAGUUACGUCAUACUAUGGCACACCUUGCGGGCUGCUGCAGCAUUCUGUGGCACAUUAUCUGUCAAAUGUUUUCUGUUAUUGCAAGUAAUUGCUAGUUUGACCACCAGAGGGCAUCUUUGAGAAGCAUUUGAUAGUCUCCAUAUUACAAGCACGCGGGAGACAGGUUCAAUCCCCCAACAGGGAGGAAGGAUUAGGCUAUCCUUGUAAAUAAGAAUUUGUUCUUAACCUCUCUGGUACAAGUGGGACGCUAGCGUCCCACCUCGACAACAGCCAGUAAAAGUGCAGGGCGCCAAAUUCAAAACAGAAAUCCCAUAAUUAAAAUUCCUCAAACAUACAAGUAUUAUACACCAUUUUAAAGAAACUUCUUGUAAAUCCAACCACAGUGUGCGAUUUCAAAUAGGCUUUACGGCGAAAGCACACCAAAAGAUUGUUAGGUUAGCGCCUAGUCACAGAAAACCAUACAGCCAUUUUCCAGCCAAGGAGGGGGCUCACAAAAGUCAGAAAUAGCGAUUUAAAUGAAUCACUAACCUUUGAUCUUCAUCAGAUGGCACUCACAGGACUUCAUGUUACACAAUACAUGUGUGUUUUGUUCGAUAAGGUUAAUCUUUGUCCAAAAACCUCAUUUGAAAUUGGUGUGUAAUGUUCAGAAAUGCAUUGUCUCAAACAAACAUCCUGUGAAAGUGCAGAGAGCCACAUCAAAUAACAGAAAUGCUCAUCAUAAACAUUGAUACAAGUGUUAAACAUACGAAUAAAGAAACUUCUUAACUUCUCUAGGGUAGGGGGCAGCAUUCAGAAUUUUGGAUGAAAAGCAUGCCCAAAUUAAACUGCCUGCUUCUCGGGCCCAGAAUAUAUGAUAUGCAUAUAACUGGUAGAUUUGGAUAGAAAACACUCUAAAGUUUUCAAAACUGUUAAAAUUGUGUCUGUGAGUAUAACAGGGUUUUUUUGGUAUACGUUUUAAAUCAUGUUUCUAGUCUAUUGCAUAGUUACAAUGUGUAAUCAUUGAUGUCCCAGGAGCAGGAGUGGUAAACACUGUUGACGUGUGUAAUUGUAAUACAUACAUGCCUACACAGCCUCAUUCAAAGAAUUGAGUUUGAGACACCUGGUAUUGGAUAUGACUGAAAAAGAAUCUUACCUGAACCGCACCUUUUAUUUGCCAAGGAAGAGUCCAUGAUCAGUGAAUAUAUUCAACGUACAGGCUACAAUGUGGGGGAUCUCAUGUGUGUUAAUAACUACAGUACAUGUAUAUAGGACUUGCAUCCUUGGCACAAUAAAGUUAUUAUAUUCUACUCUAUCCAUAGGCUUCAUUUAAUGCCAUUCAGACUUGAAGUUGAUACAACCACUAUGAUAGAUGCGGUUCAUAGAUAGGUUCUGAACUAAUAUUCAUACCAAACGUUUUAGGGUCCUUACACAGAUUGGCUACAUACUGUAGCUAGCUACACAUCCAUAGGCAUACAUUUAUUUUUAUCCUCCAGUACACAAUAAGUAGUUAUCUAGCUAUGUUACUUGAGCUGCUUUGCAAGGCAAGCUUACACAAUUGUACAUUCAAUUAGCAGUAAAUGCUUUAGCUAGCUAGAUUCUUUACAUCCACUGUUUCACAAGACAACAGCCUGGUUUGCUGCUUUUCUCAGGAGUCCCUAAAACAUUAAACAACAAGAAUUACAAAUUCAUUCUCCUAACACUAGCUAGCUGGCUAAUGUUAGCUACUCAGAACUUGCUAAAUAGCGAUUUUCAUAAAUUAACUUUAUGACAAAUAUGCACAAUCGUUUGUCUCUACAUUAACGAACAUAUUCCCCUCAAUUGUACAGUUUUAUCUUGACUUGUUAUGACGUUAUAAUUACUUACAUUUGCUUCCCCCGUAAUCUUUUGUCAGCCAUCUUUGCUGAAGAAAGUCACAAGGGACGGGUGGCUCGCGUCAAAUUCGUCAUUGGAACCACUCAAUAUAAUUGGUCAUAUAAAAACUUUGGGACCCAAAUGCAUAAUGAGUGCUCUAACUCCCCAUUGUGGUGGUCUGGAGCAAUUAAGCCGUGAUGCUGGGUACCUCUAAGUCCCGCGGUGUAAGCUCGCAACUUUUAAAGGAGGAACCACCGUAUACACAAGUAUGUGGUCACCCCAUCAAAUUAGUGGAUUCUGCUAUUUCAGCCACAUUUGUUGCUGACAGGUGUAUAAAAUUGAGCACGCCGCCAUGCAAUCUCCAUAGACAAACAUUGGCAGUAGUAAGGCCUUACUGAAGAGCUCAGUGACUUUCAACGUGACAACGUCAUAAGAUGCAACCUUUCCAACAAGUCAGUUCAUCACAUUUCUGCCCUGUUAGAGCUGCCCCCGGUCAACUGUAAGUGCUGUUAUUGUGAAGUGGAAACUUCUAGGAGCAACAACGGCACAGCCGAGAGGUGGUAGGCCACACAAGCUCACAGAACGAGACUGCCAAGUGCUGUAGUGUUUAAAAAUUGUCUGUCCUUGGUUGCAACACUCACUACUGAGUUCCAAACUGCCUCUGGAAGCAGCGUCAGCACUAACUGUUCGUCGGGAGCUUCAUGAUAUGGGUUUCCAUAGAUGAGCAGCCACACACAAGCCUAAGAUCACCAUGCGCAAUGCCAAGCGCCGGCUGGAGUUGUGUAAAGCUCGCCGCCAUUGGACUCUUGAGCAGUGGAAAUGCGUUCUCUGGAGUGAUGAAUCACGCUUCACCAUCUGGCAGUCGACGGACCAAUCUGGGUUUGGAGGAUGCCAGGAGAACACUACUUGCCCCAAUGCGUAGUACCAACUGUAAAGUUUGGAGGAGGAAUAAGGGUCUGGGGCUGUUUUUCAUGGUUUCAGGCUAGGCCCCUUAGUUGCAGUGAAGGCAAAUCUUAACACUACAGCAUAUAAUGACAUUCGAUGAUUCUGUGCUUCUAACUUUGUGACAACAGUUUGAGGAAGGCCCUUUCCUGUUUCAGCAUGAAGUGCACAAAGCGAGGUCCUUACAGAAAGGGUUUGUCAAGAUCUGUGUGGAAGAACUUGACUGGCCUGCACAGAGCACUGACCUGAACCCCAUCGAACACCUUUGGGAUGAAUUGGAAUGCCGACUGCGAGCCAGGUCUAAUCCUAAGUGCCCGAGCUCACUAAUGCUCUGGUGGCUGAAUGGAAGCAAGUUCACGCAGCAAUGUUCCAACAUCUAGUGGAAAGCUUUCCCAGAAGAGUGGAGGCUGCUGCUAUAACAAAUAGGGGACCAACUCCAUAUUAAUGCACAUGAUUUUGGUUAUGAUGUUUGACGAGCAGUUGUACAUAUACUUUUGAUCAUGUCGUGUACACAUGUACAUGUACACAUGUACACAUACAUAGUCCUAAUGUGUUAAGAAUCAUACCAUGUUGUGUUUUGAUCCUGGCAUUUGUGCUGUCCUGUUGCCACUGUUCUAGGUCAUCAUCUGGUUGGGGCAAGUUGUUCUCCAUCCUCCCAUCUAGGCUUGUUGACCAUUGCAGCAAGUUGCGGCUGCUGCGGUUUCAUGUGCUCCAUCAGUGUUAGGAUGUGCAGUUCAGCUGCUGCUGCUGCUGCAACAACAAAAAAUGAAGAUUGAUAGAAUUUGAGUUCCAUACCAUGUUUCUACAUAGUGAGAUCGAGGGGAAAUGAUUAUUAGCUAGUGUAAUACUGUAUAAGAAUAUAACUGUUCCCUCCAUUGGGAGUCGCUCUCAGUCAGUAUCUCCGUAUGUCUAAAAUGGUAGACAACACAAUGACUUUUACCAGAGUAACUUCCCAGUGGGAACAUCGGGUGUAUAACAGUAACAGUCACACAGUACAUGACAAGUAACAGAUACAGUACGUCACACUGACUAAGGAGAAAUAUGGUUAAUAUGAAAAGGCUAUGUUGUAGCUAAUAUUUUAAAGAUGCAUUACAAGCUCAGCAAAUCACCAACAAGUACAAAUUAAUCUGUGGGUGAUGGUGAUUUCCGAGUAAACGUGGCGAGAGAAAAAAAAGAUUUUGAAGAAAAAUACUCACUUUUGCUUCUUCCUUUCCCCCCUGCCUCCACCCACCUCAGCAUCGGACUGUAAAUCUGACGACUCACAGGUCAACAAAACCUUCAAUUUCUGCCUGGCAUUGUCUAAAAAUAAAUGUGUGUUUUGUUAAAUACCUAUUAGCAGGACACAAGGAACAUUACAAAAUAACUCACCAGUAGCCACUUCAAUUGAAUUGUCAACUUUGUUCAAAAGGAACAUUUGUUGAAUAACAUGUUAUUGGAAUAUAAACUAUUAUGACAUUAAACAGUCAAGCAACAUUAUUGACCAUAGUGAUGUACUGUGUAUAUCAGCCUCAACUUCCCUUACUAGGUGAUGCUUCUAAGGGCAGCUGCACUUCCAAAACAGAUCUUCAGAAACAGAGCACACAACAAAAAAAUGCAUUGUCAACAUACCAGCUUUACCAUAGACUCAAAUGCGCAGUGUCAAUUCGGUCAUCUUUCUUACAACUAGGCUAGAAGGUCACACCGUCUUCAAAUCAUUCCUCUGGCACAAUAAUUGGCGUCCUUGCUUACAAUGAAUUGUACUAACAAAAACAUCUGAAAAGACAGAACAGGAAAUUAGCAUUCCAUAAAUUCAGUGAUACAAAUACAGCUAGUGUUAGUCAUACUCUAUCAAAGUGUACUUGCGUCUAUUUUUUGUCCAGAAGCAAGUGAUGAACGCUGUGAUAGUCAGUAACAUUCUAAUUCAGUUAACCCUUCUGACCACACUCAAAAUAAUACUUAAGCCGCAGUGUUUUGUUUUAAAAAUGUAAAAUAAAAAUAUAUUUUUCAUAUCAUUUAAACUUCAUAAAUAUUAAAAUAAUUGAAAAGUGACACCCACCCCACUACUCUUUUGGCUUUAGUCCUAAAUAUGCAUUAGAGGUAAGGUCACAAAUCCCUUCCUAUAGGGCAGAACUAUGCAUUUCUGAAAGAUACUUUGGCAAAUUUGAGUGUUUCUGACGGUUGGGAAAUUCUGGAUAUGUUAAGGAAGGAUGAGCUGAAUGGGUAACUGAAGAAUUGUGACUUCUCUGAGAACUUUGUACAUAACAUACACUCCAUCACUACGUUUGACAAGGUUGUGUAUGACACACACAUUGUUUCCAAUGAUACAAAUAAUAUCCCCUAUUGAUACUUUAAUGGCACAUUGCUCGCUGUACAUUUCCUGAUAUUGUGCUGUCCCGAAAGACCACUGAGAAUAAGACCAGCAAAGUGUUGCUUUUUCAACGGACAGACCAAACCAGUGUUCUUCGCAAUAUGUUUUACUUCAGACAGUCUCCUAAUGACCUGGGUGACGGGAAAUUCUGGCUUCCUCACAAACUUCAUCUUGAAGGUAAUUUUCAAACGGAAACGCAGAAAUUGAGUCUAGGCAACCUUGCCGUUGCACAUCAGGUGAAAGAUUAACUAACCCAUGCACAUUUAUAGACUAGUUGGUCUUUUCCAUAUAUCGCACCAUAGUGGCUGACAAAAGUUGUGAGCAAUGUCUGUGCAUACUGACGACGAGGAGCUAAAAUGGAAAUGCCACAAAAGAGCAGCAUGAAGUUGUUGUACGCGUUACUGUCAAGAAACGAAGCCAGAACAACAGGACGUGUAUAGCAGAAACUGCCUAAACUCAAUUGCCUUCCAGCGGUCAACUUCUCUGGGUUUUCAGGCAAAUUAAAUGUGAGGGUGCGUUUCUAUGAGAUGGGAUGAUAUACUGUCCAUAACUUUGGCAGGCAAACAACAUUUAAGAGAACAUUUAUCACAACCCGAAUACCCAUUGUGAUCCUUGGUGGCUUUUAACAAAAUGUCUUGCAGGGGUACAACCUAUUACACUAACUUUAAAAAUAGCCUUUUCUGUUCAAAAGUAAACCCUUGCUCUUAUUCCUGAAGCUCUUUAACAAAAUCUCUAAGGAACUCCUCUACUGAAGUGUUUUUUUUUAAGCCCACAGUAAAGUCCAAUUGCAACAGGUUCCUUCAUGUUUGCACUAAUUAAGAGUCCUACGAUGGGCCAUAGUUGAAUGUUGGAGCUCUUAAAGAAUGCCAAGCCAUCUAUGUUGAUUUGUAAGAGGGUACAGCCAUCUGUAGUGGACGCUACUGUUUUAACGAUUGCCUUUUCUUAGAGAGAUGUAAAAAUUCCAAAAUACUGAUACUGACCUCCAGCCUUUUCAAGAAUGAUGUAUUGAGUUUUGGUCCUAUGCACAGUCCUAGCAUCUUUGGGCAGGUCCCGGUGGUGGAACCAUAAGACUCGGUAGAGCUGUCAAAGCAACCAUUGAGAUGCCAAAGGUGAGGGCCCAGUUGGAUGGCCUAUCAGCGAGGAUACUUGGUGGUUCUAAAUGUGGUUAAUCAGAAUCCUGAUUUUGAAUCAGAUUUCCUCAUACCAAUCUACAUUAUCCUCAUAACCACCAGGAUCUGUAUCCAUGUCCUCAUUAUCUAUGGGAUCAGAGUUGUCUAUGGGGUCAGUCACCUUCUGCAACUGAUUCAUCACCUACAGCUAGGCCUAUGUCACUUGCUACACCCAUCCUACAGUCAUCCCUAAUGUGUCCAAGUCGCCUAUCUAAGUCUACACGUGCCCUCUGCCUUAGUCGAGUUAGGCACUGGUGCUGUCUUCCUAUUCAUUUCUAUUUUCUAAAAAGGAAUUUUCAAAGACAUAAGAGCAAGCUUUCCGCCUGUUGAGUUAUUAAUAUCUUUGUUCAAGCAACUAUGUGAAAAACUAACCUCAAACAGUUGGAAGGAAAAGUAACAGCACAGAGACUAGGUGAUCGAGACGAGGAGAGAGAAGCAACUGCAUAACAACUACUGGUUGUAAUAUCAAUAUUAGUAACUCAUUCUGAAAGAGAGGAGAGUCGCAGGUCUUGCCUCAGAAACCAGGAUUGAUUACCGCUGUGAGAUGUCCGAGACUAUCAGAGAGAAAGAGACUGAGAAAGGACAACAAAAUGUAACUGUACUGAAUGACUGUAGGCUUCUGUAAAGAGAAUCAACUGCUAUAUACACUUGCUGAAAUAUUAUUAUAGCAAAUUUGAGGAAAGCUCUACCGAAGUUCUGUCAACACAUUGCCUGUAGUAGUCGCGCAUCAAAAACUGGAUCAUUGUUACUCCCCCUUCCGGGAUGGCUACAAGGCCCUCCCCUGCCCUCCCUUCGGAAAAUCGGAUUACAACACCAUCUUGCUCCUUUUUUUAUUUAUUUUUUAUUUUACCGUUAUUUUACCAGGUAAGUUGACUGAGAACACGUUCUCAUUUGCAGCAACGACCUGGGGAAUAGUUACAGGGGAGAGGAGGGGGAUGAAUGAGCCAAUUGUAAACUGGGGAUUAUUAGGUGACCAUGAUGGUUUGAGGGCCAGAUUGGGAAUUUAGCCAGGACACCGGGGUUAACACCCCUACUCUUACGAUAAGUGCCAUGGGAUCUUUAAUGACCUCAGAGAGUCAGGACACCCGUUUAACGUCCCAUCCGAAAGACGGCACCCUACACAGGGCAGUGUCCCCAAUCACUGCCCUGGGGCAUUGGGAUAUUUUUUAGACCAGAGGAAAGAGUGCCUCCUACUGGCCCUCCAACACCACUUCCAGCAGCAUCUGGUCUCCCAUCCAGGGACUGACCAGGACCAACCCUGCUUAGCUUCAGAAGCAAGCCAGCAGUGGUAUGCAGGGUGGUAUGCUGGUACCUUCUGAUAGACAGAAACUCAACACGUGUACUUCUUGUUUAAGGUCUAGUCAACGCUGGUCUGACCAAUCGGAAUCCAUGCUUCAAGAUUGUUUUGAUCACGGGGACUGGGACAUGUUACAGGUUGCCUCUGAGAAUAACACGGUGACUGAGUUCAAAAGGAAGUGUAUAGGGGAUGUUCCUACUGUGACUAUUAAAACCUACCCAAACCAAAAACCAUGGAUAGAUGCCAGCAUUUGCGCAAAACUGUAAGCGCGAACCACCGCAUUUAACCAUGACAAGGUGACUGGGAUUAUGGUUAAAUGCAAACCAUGUCGUUAUUCCUUCCGUAAGGCAAUCAAACAGGUAAAACGUCAGUACAGAGACAGUGGAGUCGCAAUUCAACGACUCAGACACAGGACAUAUGUGGCAGGGUCUACAGACAAUCACGGAUUACAAAGGGAAAAUCAGCCAUGUUUAGGACACCGACGUCUUGCUCCCAGACAAGCUAAACACCUUCACCCGCUUUGAGGAUGGCACAGUGCCACCGACGCGGCCCUCUCCCAAGGACUGUGGACUCUCAUUCUCCGUGGCCAAUGUGAAAUAAGACAUUUAACCGUGUUAACCACGAGAGGACUUGAAAAUGAGCCGGAGCUGAGAGGAUCAUCGAAACUUAAGGUAUUUUGGUUUCAGUGCAUUUUCUUUAAAAAACAUGUAAACGCAGCAAAAAAAGAAACGUCCCUUUUUCAGGACCCUGUCUUUCAAAGAUAAUUUGUAAAAAUCCAAAUAACUUCACAGAUCUUCAUUGUAAAGGGUUUAAACACGGUUUCCCAUGCUUGUUCAAUGAACCAUAAACAAUUAAUGAACAUGCACCUGUGGAACGGUCGUUAAGAUACUAACAGCUUAUAGACGGUAGGCAAUUAACUUUUUAGGGAUAGGGGGCAGCAUUUUCACUUUGGAUGAAUCGCGUGCCCAUAGUGAACUGCCUCUACUCUGUCCCAGAUGUUAAAAUAUAUGCAUAUUAUUAUUACUAUUGGAUAGAAAACACUGAAGUUUCUAAAACUGUUUGCAUUAUGUCUGUGAAUAUAAUAGAACUCAUAUGGCAGGCAAACUUCCAAACAGGAAAUGGAAAUUCUGGGGCUGGUUGAUGUUAAACUCAUCGUGUUUUCACAUCCCAGUAAGAUAUGGAUCUGUUCGCACUUCCUACGCCUUCCACUAGAUGUCAACAGUCAGUAGAACGUGGAAUGAAGCCUCUAGUGUGAUGUGGGGCCGGAUGGCAGCUAUUUGAGUCAGUGGUCUGGCAGAAUGCUAGUUCCUGGUCACGCGUGCUAGUCAUGAUAUGGCCAUGUGUUCCAUUACUUUGUAGACAAAAACGAAUGCUCCGGUUGGAACGUUAUUUGAUAUAUUUGAUAACAACACCCUGAAGAUUGAUUCUCUACUUAAUUGUAUCAGUUUAUUCGACCUGGAAUAUGACUUUUUGAAGUUUUCGUCCGAGUUCGCCUGGACCGGCGCCAGCGUUUGGACAUGUGAACUAAACGUGCUAGCAAAAGUAGCUAAUUGGACACUAGUAAUGGACAUUAUCGAACAAAACAACGAUUUAUUGUGGAACUAGGAUACCUGGCACUGCAUUCUGAUGAAAGAUCAUCAAAGGUAAGGGAAUAUUUAUGAUGUAAUUUUGUAUUUCUGUUGACUCCAACAUGGCGGAGAAAUGUUGUGUAUUUCUGAGCGCCGUCUCAGAUUAUUGCAUGGUAUGCUUAUCCUAAAGUUUUUUUAAAGUCUGACACAGCGGUUGCAUUAAGAACACGUGUAUCUUUAAUUAUAUGUAAAACAUGUAUCUUUCUUCAAAGUUUAUGAUGAGUAUUUCUGUUAUUUGACGUGGCUCUCUGUAAUUACUCCGGAUAUUUUUGAGUCAUUUCUGAACAUGGCGCCAAUGUAAACCGAGAUAUGUGGAUAUAAAUAUGCACAUUAUCAAACAAAACAUAAAUGUAUUGUGUAACAUGAUGUCCUAUGAGUGUCAUCUGUUGAAGAUUAUCAAAGGUUAGUGAUUCAUUUUAUCUCUAUUUCUGCUUUUCUUUGGCUUAUCUUUGGCUGGGAAAAAUGGCUGUGUUUUUUGGAUUUGGUGGUGAUCUAACAUAAAUAUAUGUUGUGUUUUCAAUGUAAAAGAUUUUAAAAAAUCGGACACGAUGGGUAGAUUAACAAGAUGUUUAUCUUUCAUUUGCUGUAUUGGACUUGUUAAUGUGUGAAUGUUACAUAUUUCCCAAAAAUAUUUUGGAAUUUCGCGCGAUGCCUUUUCAGCGGAAUGUUGUGGGUGUUCCGCUAGCGGAACCCCUGGGCUAGAAAGGUUUUAAGGUCACAGUUAUUAAAACUUAGGACACUAAAGAGGCCUUUCUACGGACUCUGAAGAAAGAUGGCCAGGGUCCUUGCUCAUCUGUGUGAAUGUGCCUUAGGCAUGCUGCAAGGAGGCAUGAGGACUGCAGAUGUGGCCAGGGCAAUACAUUUCAAAGUCCGUACUGUGAGACGCAUAAGACAGCGCUACAGGGAGACAGGACGGACAGCUGAUUGUCCUCGCAGUGGCAGACCACGUGUAAAAAUGGGCUGAGAGAGGCUGGACUGAGGGCUUGUAGGCCUGUUGUAAGGCAGGUCCUCACCAGACAUCACCGGCAACAGCGUCGCCUAUGGGCACAAACCCACCGUCGCUGGACCAGACAGGACUGGCAAAAAGUGCUCUUCACUGACGAGUCGCAGUUUUGUCUCACCAGGGGUGAUGGUCGGAUUCGCAUUUAUCGUCGAAGGAAUUAGCGUUACGCCGAGGCCUGUACUCUGGAGCGGGAUCGAUUUGGAGGUGGAAGGUCCGUCAUGGUCUGGGGCGGUGUGUCACAGCAUCAUCGAACUGAUCUUAUUGUCAUUGCAGGCAAUCUCAGCGCUGUGCGUUAUAGGGAAGACGUCCACCUCUCUCAUGUGGUGACCUUCCAGCAGGCUCAUCCUGACAUGACCCUCCAGCAUGACAAUGCCACCAGCCAUACUGCUUGUUCUGUGCAUGAUUUCCUGCAAGACAGGAAUGUCAGUGUUCUGCCAUGGCCAGUGAAGAGCCCGGAUUUCAAUCCCAUUGAGCACGUUUGAGACCUGUUGGAUCAGAGGGUGAGGGCUCGGGCCAUUCCCCCCAGAAAUGUCCGGGAACUUGCAGGUGCCUUGGUGGAAGAGUGGGGUAACAUCUCACAGUAGAACUGGCAAAUACGGUGCAGUCCAUGAGGAGGAGAUGCACUUCAGUACCUUAUGCAGAUGGUGGCCACACCAGAUACUGACUGUUACUUUUGAUUUUGACCCCCCCUUUGUUCAGGGACAUAUUACAUUUCUGUUAGUCACAUGUCUGUGGAACUUGUACAGUUUGUCUCAGUUGUUGAAUCUUUUGUUCAUACAAAUAUUUACACAUGCCGAAAAUAAACGCAGUUGACAGUGAGGACGUCUCUUUUUUUGCUGAGUUUAUAUAGCCUAUCAAUGUGUAGGUAUACUGUGUAAUAAAAUCGAUAACCAAAUAAAGGUUAAAUAAAAAAUAUUGUGUACUAAAAACGUGAAUGUGUUUUUGCAGAGCAUACAACCAUGCCGACAACCAUCCGUGGAGAUCAGUUGACAAAGGGCUGGACAUCGGGCCGCACCGAAAAAUCGUUGCCAAGAAAGCCGCCACUGUAAUUGAAGGGGGCUCAGGGCGGUACCAUUCUGUUCAUCUGAUGAAGGUGCGCAUGGAUCAGAUUCAAACGAAUCUGAUUGAAGACCGAGAUUGAAGGCAGACCAGCAGAAAGAGAAACAUUAUCUGAGGGCAGAGAUACGGGCAACAGCUGACACAUUGGUCUAGAGCCAGGCGGCAUUGGCGGAGAGUCAGGCAGAGAAUGACGCAUUGAAGAGUGUGAGGAACGAGAUGGAGUCACAAUCCAUGCCAGGAACACCUGUGAGCUCUGGAAUUCCACCUCCGACAGGCAGAGUCAACAUACCUGGCGGUUCAUCAGGUCGUCGGUUCACCCUGACAUUUCCAUUCCUCUUCUGACAACAGAACUUGACCAACUGCUCACUAGGCACAGCAAGGGCCGUCCGGACCGUUAUGCGGUUCUGUUAUAACCUAAUAAAGAAAUGCAGGUGGCUUAUAUCUUAAAUGCUUUAAACGUUUUAUUAUCCAAAUGUAGAAGCAUAUACUGUACAGUACAGUAUUUUUUCAUCAGCAUCUUAAUGCUUUCGUUAAUAAAAUAAUGAUUAAAAAUA